UGCAAUCACUACUGUAAGUCGCUCUGGAUAAGAGCAUCUGCUAAAUGACUAAAA
rfam:Salmo salar isolate Sally breed double haploid chromosome ssa09, whole genome shotgun sequence.